GUGGAAAUAAACUUUCUGAACAGCACUGUUCUCUACAUAAGACCGCCGCUCGGCCUUAGUUUUUGGAAUAUUCGCAAGAAACUGUCGGUACCACUACAGCGAGAUCUGCUUAUAGCUGUGCGUCCGUGCUAGCGUAUACCUCGAUACUGUUUAAAUUGUCUUACUGUCUAACGUCUAACCAGUGUCACCAGAUUGAGGAAAUUAAAGAAAAAAAAUUCUGCAGUAGUAGAGGAUAUAGUAUAGUUAGUGGACCACUGAAAUCGGGUCUCAUACUGUAGACAAGUGUAGGGAGAGGGACAAUGUUGUCGAUGCGACGCACAGGAGUAAGAAGAAAUUCAUGUCACGUCUCACACAAGCCACGUAGCUGUAAAGUGUCAGAAGGGGUGGACCGGGGAAGACUGAAGAAGUGAAUUGGAAUUUUCAGAAGAAAAUACGAUGUACUAAAAACGCGACGAAAAGCCGAAAAGUCACAAAUAUGUCAACUGAAGAAUAGUUCAAUGUGAUGAAACGCGGAGGUGAAUGAUCAACGUGCAAGCUUUAAAUUACGUUCCUUCCUUGUUCCUUGUGAUACGUUAACUUACUUCAUUCAGUAAUUUCAAUAGGCUUUAAUGCGUUUAUAACGCAAAACCUGCACACGAGUGGAUGAGGAUAAGACGUAGACGAUGGUCACGUACCCCAUUAAACGUAUAACCGCCGUAGACAAUUAAUUACCGUUAAUACAGUAAUUGUGAG
rnacentral:misc_RNA from 1 species